UUUCAAUGAUGAUUAACCAAUACUCACUUUGAACCGAUGUGAAAAGACAUGAACUUCUGAGAAAC